GGGCCGCUAGCUCAACUGGCAGAGCAGAGGGCUUUUAACCCUAAGGUUGCAGGUUCGAGUCCUGCGCGGCUCA
rnacentral:tRNA from 1 species